UUUGGCACCGUUUCCGGUUUGGAAGCAUUUAAAAAAUGGACGAAAAUUGAGGAGAGCAUUUUACAAAAGCUGAUGCAGCUAUUAUUUAAUAAACUGAAAAAUAAGUUUAAUAUUGGUUUGUAUACAAUUUUAAUUGCUUUAUCUUGCAGUUAUAACAAUUUUGAUAUUUUUUAAUUUUUUCAUACAAAAAACCGGAAAUGAAAAUUUCAAGUCAAAUUUAUAUAAAGUUCGGUAUUUUUGAAAUUUUUUAUUUUUGCCUCAAAAUGUAGCUUAUAGUCCAUCAAAAAUACGUGGAAAGUUUGAGAGUGGGAUCUGCAUUAGUUUCGGAGAUACAUGAACUAAAGUGCAAACGUGCCGGUCUGAGCGUCGUACUGGCGAUUCCUUAGUUACCCAGUCAAAUAAAGGUUUUGACCCUGGAAUGACAAAUAAUAAGCUGGAAACUCGUAUAACCACACAUUCGUGUCGGCGGUCUUUAAAUUACGAUAAAAGUCAUAGAAAACCUCGUGUUCGCGCCGGAACAGAUCAUGUUCAGGGCAUUUUUCCCGAUCCUCAACCGUUUUGUAGGAAUUGUCGGAUAAUUUGGAUAUAGACGGCGCAAAACGCGUAGCGGUCAGCCAUACGCUCCGUAAUGCAAGUUCACCGUGAAUUCCGGUUAAUAAUAAAUAAAUAAAUAUUAUAGGACAUUCUUACACAGAUUGACUAAGUCCCACAGUAAGCUCAAGAAGGCUUGUGUUGUGGGUACUCAGACAACGAUAUAUAUAAUAUACAGAUACUUAAAUACAUAGAAAACACCCAUGACUCAGGAACAAAUA